rnacentral:rRNA from 1 species
GACGAACGCUGGCGGCGUGCUUAACACAUGCAAGUCGAACGGUGAAGGGACCAGCUUGCUGGUUCUGGAUGAGUGGCGAACGGGUGAGUAACACGUGAGUAACCUGCCCCCUUCUUCUGGAUAACCGCAUGAAAGUGUGGCUAAUACGGGAUAUUCUGGGUCUGUCGCAUGGCGGGCCCGGGAAAGAUAUUGCUUCGGUGGGGGAUGGGCUCGCGGCCUAUCAGCUUGUUGGUGGGGUGAUGGCCUACCAAGGCGGUGACGGGUAGCCGGCCUGAGAGGGGGGACGGUCACACUGGGACUGAGACACGGCCCAGACUCCUACGGGAGGCAGCAGUGGGGAAUAUUGCACAAUGGGCGCAAGCCUGAUGCAGCGACGCCGCGUGAGGGAUGGAGGCCUUCGGGUUGUAAACCUCUUUCGCCAGUGAAGCAGGCCUGCUCCUUGUGGGUGGGUUGACGGUAGCUGGAUAAGAAGCGCCGGCUAACUACGUG